GACGAACGCUGGCGGCGUGCUUAACACAUGCAAGUCGAACGGAAAGGCCCUGCUUUUGUGGGGUGCUCGAGUGGCGAACGGGUGAGUAACACGUGAGUAACCUGCCCUUGACUUUCGGAUAACUUCAGGAAACUGGGGCUAAUACCGGAUAGGAUCUCCUGCUGCAUGGUGGGCGUUGGAAAGUUUCGGCGGUUGGGGAUGGACUCGCGGCUUAUCAGCUUGUUGGUCGGGUAGUGGCUUACCAAGGCUUUGACGGGUAGCCGGCCUGAGAGGGUGGACAGCCACCUUACGACUGAGAUACGGACCAGACGGGUACGGGAGGCAGCGGGGGGAAGUAUUGCACAGUGAGCCGGAGCCUGAUACGGCGGCGCCGGGUGCGGGAUGACGGCCUUCGGGUUAUGAACCGCUGUCGCCUGUGACGAAGCGUGAGUGACGGUAAUGAAUGAAGAAGCACCGGCUAACUACGUG
rnacentral:rRNA from 1 species